rnacentral:snRNA from 1 species
GGAUGUGAGGGUGAUAUGGCUGUGACAUCUGUCAUCUCAUUGAUUGUCAGGGUUGAUUUGGCUAGACAGAUGUCUUCUAACUCUCACCAGACCACAUGCAACCCUCCUGAAGCUUCUAGGACCUCAAAAAAAACAAAACAAAACAAAACAAAACAAAACCCUCAGAGGCACAUUUGAAAGUGGGUCUUGGUUGGGGAUUUAGCUCAGUGGAAGAGCGCUUGCCUAGCAAGCGCAAGGCCCUGGGUUUGGUCCC